rnacentral:sRNA from 1 species
UGAAUCAUAUUAUUUGUAGAUGGUGAUU